GAGGUUAUAGCUCAGUGGCAGAGCACAUGCUUAGCAUGCACAAGGUCCUAGGUUCAAUCCCCAGUACCUCCA
rnacentral:tRNA from 1 species